AUACGAUCAUAUUACGCCGAAACACCGAUUCCCGCACAAUCACCGAAGUUAAGCAACGUGGAAAGUGGGCAGUACUUAGAUGGGUGACCACUUGGUAAUACCAGGAACUGUAAG